rnacentral:lncRNA from 1 species
UUUCCUCUGCUUCUGUUAACUGGACCGUAGCCACCAUUUCUUACUUAUCCAGUCAACAAAGUCCUGCUGCUCUGGUCCGGGCACCAUCUCUGUACUGACGAGAUGUGUGGUCGGUCAUGCAUGACUCGGGAGCAUUCCAGAGGAACUUCAACUGAGAUAAUUAACUUUAAAUAAAAAUAAAUCUGCAUCGGGCUCUAAGAUAUUUCAGAGAUUUGAAAGAAGAAGUGGGGAAUUUGUACUAUCCAGGUUCUAUUUCCAGCACGAGCUUUUUGAGCUAUGUGAUCAUGAGUUCAUGAAGGCAGCUGACCUCUUUCUCAGAGUGAAGUUGUUCUCGGGCUGAGGAGCUGGAGCCUGAUUCAUACAGCGCUGCGAGAACAACUCAAACUACAUCAGUCCUUUUGGGCAGAUGGUGAGGCUCUUUUAGCUGUGUUUCUGCUCUAGAAGAUUCUAUAACUUUCAUGUGUUCCGCCAUCUUCAGCGCCAGAGGGCUUUUUCGGCUGCUCCCUCCCCGGCGAAGUUCCUACCAACUUCAGCGCCAGAGGUUCUUCUCGGCCUCGCCCUCUCCUGCCGGCUGCCUGUUCCACCAUCUUCAGCACCGGAAAGGUAGCCGCGCUGGCAUCCCCGAACCCCCCCGACCAACCUUCCCC